AGCAAAUAGUUCAAAGUCCUAACACAAGGCUUCAGUUGUGGGACCAAAGGCCGAUUUAAAAGCCAGACACCGCAGCGUAGUGAGCAAAUCUCAUAACAGACAAUAGAAAGGACUGUGUAUGAUUUGUUGACAAUUUGGAGUUACAAACCAACGGAAGCCCCUUGAAGAUGGGACACAUAAUAUCUGUAUUUGUCAGGGAGCUGCCUGGUGCUUACAUAUUUGGAGGAAUUUUCCUGCCUGUGACAUUGUUGCUGUUAAGUCUUAUUUCAUAUCUCAGGAUAAAACUUGAGGAAGUAAAUGAAGAACUGGCUCGAGCCCGAAACCCCAGAGAGGCACUGCAAGACUCUUACCUUCAAUACAGGCAAUUAAAAGCAUCCAAAGGCCAGCAGACGAAGAAGACUUCCUAAUACAUCUAAACAUCUAAUAGCAGCACAUAUGAGGAGUCAUUUUAACUAUUAAUAAGGUUAAUCCUUGUUUGCUUUAAACAUGUAGGAAAAGUCUAUUUUUUUUUAUUCCUUCCUACAUGAGCUUGGGUGUUUAAAUUAAACAUAGGUUUACUUCACCAAAAGUGAACAUUACUCCUUUAGUAAAUCAACCCCGUAAUGUGAAUUUUCUGACACUCCUUGCGAAAAAGGAAGAAGCUAAGAAAGACUAAGCACAGCUUCGAGGGGAAAGAAAAUGGCGCUUGGCAAUUAAAAUGUGUUUCCUGGAGAAAGGCUUUUCACCUGAGACUUUAAAGCUGGAGCUAUCUAAAAUACGUCACUGGCCGAUUUACUCAUGGCUACUGGCGUUGCCUGUGGAACAGAAUAUGCUCUAGUCAUCCAAAUCUCCUUCUUCUGCAGUUAUGCUGCUCAGAACUGUCCAUGUGCAAUCAUAUAACAGGAGUGGUGCGUCGGAGCUAUGAAGAAAAUAAGCCUAUUAUAUAGUUCAGAUUCAUUCCAAGGAGGACAUCAUAUUUUUCUUAAUAGAUGUGUAGACGUUUUUUGCAAUUAUCACACAGCCUUUUGAGCAGUAAUAUGUCUGUAAAGCAGCCAAUUUGUCAUUGAACUCUUGCCUGUCUGAAUUUUUUUUCAUCCGUACAGUAUUUUCAUGACCGGUAUGGUAAGGAUGUAUCGGGACAAACUGUGAUCUUGACUGAGCCCAUCAUUAGAGCAAAGAAGCCUCACACAGUAAUUUCAUAAUGGCAAAAGGUAAUAAAAAAGCAGCAAUUACCUGAAGUGUGGGAGUUGUUUGUGCAGUACCUGGCAGAAAGCACAUACCGUAUUAUCUAUUUACUUCUAUGAUACAAAAAGAAAAAAAAAAACAA